rnacentral:rRNA from 1 species
AACGAACGCUGGCGGCAGGCUUAACACAUGCAAGUCGAACGCAUCGCAAGAUGAGUGGCAGACGGGUGAGUAACGCGUGGGAAUCUACCCAUCUCUGCGGAAUAGCUCUGGGAAACUGGAAUUAAUACCGCAUACGCCCUACGGGGGAAAGAUUUAUCGGGGAUGGAUGAGCCCACGUUGGAUUUGCUAGUUGGUGGGGUAAAGGCCUACCGAGGCGACGUUCCAUAGCUGGUCUGAGAGGAUGAUCAGCCACAUUGGGACUGAGACACGGCCCAAACUCCUACGGGAGGCAGCCUUGGUGAAUAUUGGACAAUGGGCGCAAGCCUUUUCCAGCCAUGCCGCGUGAGUGAUGAAGGCCUUAGGAUUGUACAGCUCUUCCACCGAUGAAGAUAAUGACGGUAGUCGGAGAAGAAGCCCCGGCUAACUUCGUGCCAGCAGCCGCAGUAA